UCUUGAGAGCGGCGGACGGGUGAGUAAUGCCUAGGAAUCUGCCUGGUAGUGGGGGAUAACGUUCGGAAACGAACGCUAAUACCGCAUACGUCCUACGGGAGAAAGCAGGGGACCUUCGGGCCUUGCGCUAUCAGAUGAGCCUAGGUCGGAUUAGCUAGUUGGUGAGGUAAUGGCUCACCAAGGCGACGAUCCGUAACUGGUCUGAGAGGAUGAUCAGUCACACUGGAACUGAGACACGGUCCAGACUCCUACGGGAGGCAGCAGUGGGGAAUAUUGGACAAUGGGCGAAAGCCUGAUCCAGCCAUGCCGCGUGUGUGAAGAAGGUCUUCGGAUUGUAAAGCACUUUAAGUUGGGAGGAAGGGCAGUUACCUAAUACGUGAUUGUUUUGACGUUACCGACAGAAUAAGCACCGGCUAACUCUGUGCCAGCAGCCGCGGUAAUACAGAGGGUGCAAGCGUUAAUCGGAAUUACUGGGCGUAAAGCGCGCGUAGGUGGUUUGUUAAGUUGGAUGUGAAAUCCCCGGGCUCAACCUGGGAACUGCAUUCAAAACUGACUGACUAGAGUAUGGUAGAGGGUGGUGGAAUUUCCUGUGUAGCGGUGAAAUGCGUAGAUAUAGGAAGGAACACCAGUGGCGAAGGCGACCACCUGGACUAAUACUGACA
rnacentral:rRNA from 4 species